rnacentral:lncRNA from 1 species
CCCCAGCCAUUGAAAGACACUGACCCCUUCCCCUCCCCAAAGCUUAGACCAGCCAUUUCAGCUAGGCGAAAGCAAUUGUCAGGAGAAUAAACUGCAGUGUGCUGCUUCCAGACUGCCACAGCAGAGGGGGCUUGGUGUCAGGGUGAACCUAAAACGAUAACCCUGCAUCAACAGGGACAGUCAAACAGCAACAUCAUAAAUCUCCAUAUGCCUUUCAUCCCCAUACCUGGUAGCAUGCAGGUAGGAUGAAGUCUUUUCCAUCCUGUGCCGCCCUAGACUGCACCCUGCGUGUCCUCCAAGAGCAGUUCAGCUGAGGAGUCUUCUAGCUGUCACCUCUUAGGUCCUCCCAGCCACCCUGCAGCACUCCCACUACAGAGCCAGUGGCUCUGUUAGAAGACAGCUCAGUGUCUUCUCCUUGGGAAAGACCUUCUCUGAGCCUUGGCUCUCCCAUGGCUUUCAACAGGAUUCCUCAUUGCUCUUGUAUGCAAACAGGACGGGUGGAAAUUUGCUCUUGAUAUUUUGAUGA